CUGACCUCAAAUCAGGUAGGACUACCCGCUGAACUUAAGCAUAUCAAUAAGCGGAGGAAAAGAAACUAACAAGGAUUCCCCUAGUAACUGCGAGUGAAGCGGGAAAAGCUCAAAUUUGAAAUCUGGCGGUUCUGCCGUCCGAGUUGUAUUCUGGAGAAGUGCCUUCCGCGCCGGACCGUGUACAAGUCCCUUGGAACAGGGCGUCAUAGAGGGUGAGAAUCCCGUCUUUGACACGGACCCCCGGUGCUCUGCGAUGCGCUCUCGAAGAGUCGAGUUGUUUGGGAAUGCAGCUCAAAACGGGUGGUAAAUUCCAUCUAAAGCUAAAUAUUGGCGAGAGACCGAUAGCGAACAAGUACCGUGAGGGAAAGAUGAAAAGCACUUUGGAAAGAGAGUAAAACAGUACGUGAAAUUGUUGAAAGGGAAACGCUUGAAGUCAGUCGCGUCUGCCGGAACUCAGCCUUGCUUCUGCUUGGCGCACUUUCCGGUCCGACGGGCCAGCAUCGGUUUCGUGAGGCGGACACUGGCGGGGGGAAGGUGGUGGCUCCGGCCGCGUUAUAGCCCUCUGUCGCAAACGUCUCGUGGGACCGAGGAAUCCGGCGCAAGCUGGGAUGCUGGCGUAAUGGCUUUAAACGACCCGUCUUGAAACACGGACCAAGGAGUGCUACGUGCUCGCGAGUGUUUGGGUGGAAAACCCGGACGCGCAAUGAAAGUGAAAGUCGAUACCCCUUGCGGGGGCACCGACGCCCGAGCCUGAUGUUUUCGGAAGGCCUUGCGGUAGAGCGAGUGCGUUGCGACCCGAAAGAUGGUGAACUAUUCCUGAGGAGGGCGAAGCCAGAGGAAACUCUGGUGGAGGCUCGUAGCGGUUCUGACGUGCAAAUCGAUCGCAGGACUUGG
rnacentral:rRNA from 1 species